rnacentral:rRNA from 1 species
UCGCGGAUCAGAAUGCCGCGGUGAAUACGUUCCCGGGUCUUGUACACACCGCCCGUCACACCAUGGGAGUUGGAAAAUGCCCGAAGUCAGUGGCCCAACCGGAAGGGGGGGAGCUGCCGAAGGCAGGUUCGAUGACUGGGGUGAAGUCGUAACAAGGUAUC